ACGUGCCCAUUCGUGGGGGAUAACGCAGCGAAAGCUGUGCUAAUACCGCAUACGAUCUACGGAUGAAAGCAGGGGAUCGCAAGACCUUGCGCGAAUGGAGCGGCCGAUGGCAGAUUAGGUAGUUGGUGAGGUAAAGGCUCACCAAGCCUUCGAUCUGUAGCUGGUCUGAGAGGACGACCAGCCUCACUGGGACUGAGACACGGCCCAGACUCCUACGGGAGGCAGCAGUGGGGAAUUUUGGACAAUGGGCGAAAGCCUGAUCCAGCCAUGCCGCGUGCAGGAUGAAGGCCUUCGGGUUGUAAACUGCUUUUGUACGGAACGAAACGGUCUUUUCUAAUACAGAAGGCUAAUGACGGUACCGUAAGAAUAAG
rnacentral:rRNA from 1 species